AUCUCUGACAGGCCGCGGUUUUUCAUGCAGCUUUGUGAGCCCCGUCAGACACUGGGACGUUCACACUGUACAAAAGAGCAGGGACACACAGGAGCCCUCUUCAGUAUACGACAGGCUGCCACUGUUUGUUCAGGCUGCUGAGGGGCUUCACAUGCUGUCUGUCUGACUGAGCUGCUACAGCCGUCGAUGAGGGUGAGGCUGAUGGGUGCUGGUCAACUCCCAGAGGACCCGUUAACUUCUAACUGAAGGUUGUUGGCUCAUCUGAGGAGCUCCAGCAGCAGAAAUGAUCAUCAGACUGGGCAGACUGACUCCGGGAUACUUCCGUCUCCUCCAGAGGCAGGUCUCAGGUGAGCUCCGGAUGCAGCCACAGAGCAGCCUCAUCGAUCCCAUCGCCAUGACGAUGGCCACAGUGGGGAUGGGAGUGUCUCUGUACAGCGCCAGGCAGAUGGCAGAGAGGGUCCACCUGAAACAUCCAGCUGCCUGGGAUCAGUGAGAAGCUCUGAGACUGCUUCUUUGUUUGUGUACGUCGCAGAAGGUUUGUGAUGGAGGAGGUCGACAGAGUCCAUGUGUUUGUGGUGUUGAUUGAAGGAAAAUCUAAGUGUCCCAGGAGGGAAAUGUGAGUCAUUGUUCAGUCCCAAAGGGAAGAUUAGUCAUACACACAAUUUACACUUUCUUUGCAAUCUCAACAUUUAUAAGCAAAUAUAAGUGAGCCUGUAGUUUGACCACCCUGCAUAUUUUGAGCAGGUUGCCUUUAAUUUCAUCAGUGAUCGUAUUCUAAUGCAAUAAAUGAGCAUAUCAUUUGUCAACCUGGAUCUCAGCAUUAAAGUUUAACCUGCAGCUGUUAUUAUGUCAUAAAAUUAAUGUUUCAUAAAAAUGAACCACAGAAAAUCUAAUGAAAUAAUUCUGUAGUAAAUUCUCUCAGCGCACAAGCUUGUUGUAUUUAGGGACACUAAUCAUAAGCAUGCACUAUAACCUCAAAAUAUUUCAGUUCAGUCAUUAGUUUGUUGUACUUAAGCAUUUUGAAUUUAGAUUGCUUAUUAUUUACGAAGCAGACUAUAAUCAGCUAAAGGAAAAGGCUGUUUUCAUUAGGGCAUCUUCAGUUUGCUAAAUCAAAAUUUCAUGUUUGUACUAGGAUUUGAUAAAGGAAAUGUCUGCAAAUGUAAAAUGCCACUAAAAGACAUUCAAAUUAUUUAAUUUGUAUCGUAACAAAGUUGGUAAAUUGAUGCAAUUUCCAAAUAAAUAUGUUCACAGAUCUGACUUUUA